rnacentral:rRNA from 1 species
UAUGAAGGGUGCAAGCGUUACUCGGAAUUACUGGGCGUAAAGCGUGCGUAGGUGGUUUGUUAAGUCUGUUGUGAAAGCCCCGGGCUCAACCUGGGAAUGGCAAUGGAUACUGGCAAGCUAGAGUGCGGUAGAGGGUAGUGGAAUUCCCGGUGUAGCGGUGAAAUGCGUAGAGAUCGGGAGGAACACCAGUGGCGAAGGCGGCUACCUGGACCAGCACUGACACUGAGGCACGAAAGCGUGGGGAGCAAACAGG